rnacentral:lncRNA from 1 species
GAAUCUUGUUGCAGAGAACUCAGCCACUUGGGAUACCAAUACCAUUCUUCCCUAGGUCGAGUUUGUCAGCAUCAUCCCCAUCAAUUGCUCAACAAGAGUUUCCUUUUGAGAUCAUAACAAGCUUAUCACCAUGGCAGUCAUUGGAUCUGAUACCGCUGCCGAUGUCAAGCAGGGCUUCCCUCAAGGGAGCAGAUUUUUGACAACACACUAAGCAAACCCAUCCAGAGGCUA